rnacentral:rRNA from 1 species
GACGAACGCUGGCGGCGUGCUUAACACAUGCAAGUCGAACGGAAAGGCCCUGCUUUUGUGGGGUGCUCGAGUGGCGAACGGGUGAGUAACACGUGAGUAACCUGCCCUUGACUUUGGGAUAACUUCAGGAAACUGGGGCUAAUACCGGAUAGGAGCUCCUGCUGCAUGGUGGGGGUUGGAAAGUUUCGGCGGUUGGGGAUGGACUCGCGGCUUAUCAGCUUGUUGGUGGGGUAGUGGCUUACCAAGGCUUUGACGGGUAGCCGGCCUGAGAGGGUGACCGGCCACAUUGGGACUGCGAUACGGCCCAGACUCCUACGGGAGGCAGCAGUGGGGAAUAUUGCACAAUGGGCGGAAGCCUGAUGCAGCAACGCCGCGUGCGGGAUGACGGCCUUCGGGUUGUAAACCGCUGUCGCCUGUGACGAAGCGUGAGUGACGGUAAUGGGUAAAGAAGCACCGGCUAACUACGUG